rnacentral:rRNA from 1 species
ACGGGGGGAGCAAGCGUUGUUCGGAUUUACUGGGCGUAAAGGGCGCGUAGGCGGCCACUGCAAGUCGGUUGUGAAAUCUCCGGGCUUAACCCGGAAAGGUCAAUCGAUACUGCAGGGCUAGAGUGCGGAAGGGGCAACUGGAAUUCUCGGUGUAGCGGUGAAAUGCGUAGAUAUCGAGAGGAACACCUGCGGCGAAGGCGGGUUGCUGGGCCGACACUGACGCUGCAGCGCGAAAGCCAGGGGAGCGAACGGGA